rnacentral:rRNA from 1 species
CCUACGGGUGGCAGCAGUGGGGAAUAUUGCACAAUGGAGGGAACUCUGAUGCUGCGACGCCGCGUGAGUGAAUAAGUAAUUCGUUAUGUAAAGCUCUAUCAGCAGGGAAGAAAGUGACGGUACUUGAAAAAGAAGCUCCGGCUAAAUACGUGUCAGCAGCCGCGGUAAUACGGAGGAUGCGAGCGUGAUCCGGAUUUAUUGGGUUUAAAGGGUGCGUAGGCGGACUGUUAAGUCAGCGGUAAAAGCCCGGGGCUCAACCCCGGCGAGCCGUUGAAACUGGCUGUCUUGAGAUGUCGAGAGGUAUGCGGAAUGCGCAGUGUAGCAGUGAAAUGCUUAGAUAUUGCGCAGAACACCGAUUGCGAAGGCGGCAUACCGGCGGCGAUCUGACGCUGAGGCACGAAAGCGUGGGGAGCGAAAGGGAUUAGAUACCCGAGUAGUC